rnacentral:siRNA from 1 species
ACCGCAGCAGCAAGGGAUCCCGG